rnacentral:sRNA from 1 species
GAGCAGUUUACGGAAGUGUAACGUUGAGGCCCUCCUUGUGGAUCUGGAGAAAAUAGAGGGGAACCCCUAUCAGAAAGACUGCUGUCACAUUUUAAUGCCUCUCUAGACCUGAUAACUUGAAGGGAGUCACAUUCCUCAGAUAAAAGAUUCAUUUCUUUCUCAUUU